rnacentral:rRNA from 1 species
UACCCGCUGAACUUAAGCAUAUCAAUAAGCGGAGGAAAAGAAACCAACAGGGAUUGCCCUAGUAACGGCGAGUGAAGCGGCAACAGCUCAAAUUUGAAAUCUGGCUCUUUUAGAGUCCGAGUUGUAAUUUGCAGAGGGCGCUUUGGCUUUGGCAGCGGUCCAAGUUCCUUGGAACAGGACGUCACAGAGGGUGAGAAUCCCGUACGUGGUCGCUGGCUAUUGCCGUGUAAAGCCCCUUCGACGAGUCGAGUUGUUUGGGAAUGCAGCUCUAAAUGGGAGGUACAUUUCUUCUAAAGCUAAAUAUUGGCCAGAGACCGAUAGCGCACAAGUAGAGUGAUCGAAAGAUGAAAAGCACUUUGGAAAGAGAGUCAAACAGCACGUGAAAUUGUUGAAAGGGAAGCGCUUGCAGCCAGACUUGCUUGCAGUUGCUCAUCCGGGCUUUUGCCCGGUGCACUCUUCUGCAGGCAGGCCAGCAUCAGUUUGGGCGGUAGGAUAAAGGUCUCUGUCACGUACCUCUCUUCGGGGAGGCCUUAUAGGGGAGACGACAUACUACCAGCCUGGACUGAGGUCCGCGCAUCUGCUAGGAUGCUGGCGUAAUGGCUGUAAGCGGCCCGUCUUGAAACACGGACCAAGGAGUCUAACAUCUAUGCGAGUGUUUGGGUGUCAAGCCCGAGCGCGUAAUGAAAGUGAACGGAGGUAGGAACCCGCAAGGGUGCACUAUCGACCGAUCCUGAUGUCUUCGGAAGGAUUUGAGUAAGAGCAUGGCUGUUGGGACCCGAAAGAUGGUGAACUAUGCUUGAAUAGGGUGAAGCCAGAGGAAACUCUGGUGGAGGCUCGCAGCGGUUCUGACGUGCAAAUCGAUCGUCAAAUUUGGGCAUAGGGGCGAAAGACUAAUCGAACUAUCUAGUAG